CUUUUCUUGUUACACCUAAUUUCCUUUUAUCAUGGAAACAUGUUGUAACUAACUUAAUCCACUCACCCACUUUCUCCUAUUUUCCUAUGUUAUAGUUCCUACUUUAUUUUCUAAGAAUCUCACUCCACUCCCUCACUUGCCAAAAGUCCAUUAUAAUUUCAGUAACAAAAGAAGAAUAAAAAAUAGAAAAGAAUCUUAGCCUCUCCCUACCUUUAUCACGAUUUGUCCUUUUGAAGUUUGAACUCUUCUUCUCUUACAAGCACUUCAUCAGACGGUAGAGUUUUCGCGCUAGGAAGAUAAGCACAUAAGGUAAGGGUUCUUCGGACACAAAUUUGUGCUAAGCCAUUGGGUUAGAUGUUGUAGGAUGAUUGUAAGAUCUAUUUGUCGUUUUUAAAAAGAAAAAUAAUCAUCUAAUGUCAUUUUGAAUUUUUAAUCUCAUAGUUUUAUACUAUAGAGUGGCGCCUAUGUUAUUAGUAGAAAAGGAACGAUUUCUAUAGUAUAAUAUGAUUCUUGAAACUUUUUAUUUGAUUCCGGUAUUGAAUCCAUGCUAUUCAUAUGAUGAGGAAUAUAUUAGAUGAGUGAGAAAUAUGUUUUGAUAUGUGUGAUGUAAGAAUCGUGAUUGCAAGCAUGUUGGCAUAAAUUGUAUACGUAUAAUCUUCUAUAGAAAUGUUGCCUUUAUGGUUUUAUGA